rnacentral:lncRNA from 1 species
AGAAAACAACACGCUGUGAUUACAAUUCUGAAUUAAUGGAUUAAAAAGGAAACAUUUCAGCAUUAAUAGGCUGUCCUCAAACAGCAUGAAAAUAGAUGUCCUAUCUCCAAGGCUCUAGUAACUUCUUGGUGACCCUGCUGCAAUGAGGAAGCCACCAUCAGUGCUUUGAGCGUUAAAAGGAAAAGGAAGAAUACUUCAAGCCAAGUGAACAUAAACUGUGACAUGCAAGUCCGAGAUCUUAACUUCAAAGACUUACUGCACAGAAGACAGAUACAG